rnacentral:rRNA from 1 species
AGCAGCCGCGGUAAUUCCAGCUCCAAUAGCGUAUAUUAAAGUUGUUGCAGUUAAAAAAGCUCGUAGUUGAAUUUCGGAAUUGACGGAUUGGUCGCGCCUUCGGUGUGUACUGGUCUUGCCGGUUUCUCCCUUCUGACGAACCACGAUGUCAUUAAUUUGGUGUCGCGGGGAAUCAGGACUGUUACUUUGAAAAAAAUUAGAGUGUUUAAAGCAGGCAUUAGCUUGAAUACAUUAGCAUGGAAUAAUGAAAUAGGACGUUUGAUCUUAUUUUGUUGGUUUCUAGGAUCGACGUAAUGAUUAAUAGGGAUAGUUGGGGGCAUUAGUAUUCAAUUGUCAGAGGUGAAAUUCUUGGAUUUAUUGAAGACUAACUACUGCGAAAGCAUUUGCCAAGGAUGUUUUCAUUAAUCAAGAACGAAAGUUAGGGGAUCGAAGACGAUCAGAUACCGUCGUAGUCUUAACCAUAAACUAUGCCGACUAGGGAUCGGAUGAUGUUAAUUUUUUAAUGUACUCA